ACGGGGUGCAGCAGGCGCGAAACCUUUGCAAUGUGCGAAAGCACGACAAGGUUAAUCCGAGUGAUUUCUGCUAAAGAAAUCUUUUGCUAGUCCUAGAAACACUGAUGAAUAAGGGGUGGGCAAGUUCUGGUGUCAGCCGCCGCGGUAAAACCAGCACCUCAAGUGGUCAGGAUGAUUAUUGGGCCUAAAGCAUCCGUAGCUCGUUUUGUAAGUUUUCGGUUAAAUCCAUGCGCUUAACGUAUGGGCUGCCGGGAAUACUGCAUAACUAGGAAGUGGGAGAGGUAGACGGUACUCGGUAGGAAGGGGUAAAAUCCUUUGAUCUAUUGAUGACCACCUGUGGCGAAGGCGGUCUACCAGAACACGUUCGACGGUGAGGGAUGAAAGCUGGGGGAGCAAACCGGAUUAGAUACCCGGGUAGUCCCAGCUGUAAACUAUGCAAACUCAGUGAUGCAUUGGCUUAUGGCCAAUGCAGUGCUGCAGGGAAGCCGUUAAGUUUGCCGCCUGGGAAGUACGUACGCAAGUAUGAAACUUAAAGGAAUUGGCUGGGGAGCAC
rnacentral:rRNA from 2 species